GCAACUCCUCUGUCCACCUCAGCAGUCCUACCAGUGCCCCAGGCCUCAACCCAAGCCAGUCUUAGGGAGGGGGCACCUUUAGCUGCCUCCAUCCCCCUUCAGGAAUCUGAAGAAUGUGUCCUUUAACCUCAGAGCCCCAGGCCUUGGCCAGUCCCCCCAAAACACUUGGGGUCACAUGACCCCUGUCCCUCAGGAACUUCCUGGGAGAAGGGGAGGGCACCUCCCAGCACCUCUAGCCCCCACUGAAAAACCAGCCUGGGUGGCCCUGAGAGGGCAGACCGAAAGCCUUGGCACCUCCUCCCCAACCAUCCCUCUGAAGGAGAGCUGGGGGAGGGGACGGCUCCUCGGCUUUGGCCUCCAGGACCUGGCACUGGAUAGGUGCCAAAUGUUUGCUGGCUACAUGAGGCACUUGUUCCUGCAGAAGGGAAACUGCACCUGACAAUGACUGCUUCCUCCACCUAAUGCGUGCCUGUGAAUGGGCCCCGGGGAGGAGAAACUGAGGAAGGGGAGGAAGUACG
rnacentral:lncRNA from 1 species